rnacentral:rRNA from 1 species
UACGAAGGGUGCAAACGUUGCUCGGAAUCAUUGGGCGUAAAGCGCACGUAGGCGGCCCUGUAAGUCGGAUGUGAAAUCCCUCGGCUCAACUGAGGACGUGCAUCCGAAACUGCAGAGCUCGAGUAUGGAAGAGGGUCGCGGAAUUCCCGGUGUAGAGGUGAAAUUCGUAGAUAUCGGGAGGAACACCAGUGGCGAAGGCGGCGACCUGGGCCAAUACUGACGCUGAGGUGCGAA